CAGCAGCCGCGGUAAUACGUAGGUGGCAAGCGUUGUCCGGAAUUAUUGGGCGUAAAGGGCUCGCAGGCGGUUUCUUAAGUCUGAUGUGAAAGCCCCCGGCUCAACCGGGGAGGGUCAUUGGAAACUGGGAAACUUGAGUGCAGAAGAGGAGAGUGGAAUUCCACGUGUAGCGGUGAAAUGCGUAGAGAUGUGGAGGAACACCAGUGGCGAAGGCGACUCUCUGGUCUGUAACUGACGCUGAGGAACGAAAGCGUGGGGAGCGAACAGGAUUAGAUACCCCGGUAGUCCCUGUCUCUUAUAC
rnacentral:rRNA from 1 species